AUACGAGGGGUGCAAGCGUUAAUCGGAAUUACUGGGCGUAAAGCGUUCGUAGGCGGUUUGUUAAGCAAGAUGUGAAAGCCCAGGGCUCAACCUUGGAACUGCAUUUUGAACUGGCAGACUAGAGUAUUGUAGAGGGUGGUGGAAUUUCCAGUGUAGCGGUGAAAUGCGUAGAGAUUGGAAGGAACAUCAGUGGCGAAGGCGGCCACCUGGACAAAUACUGACGCUGAGGAACGAAAGCGUGGGGAGCAAACAGGAUUAGAAACCCUGGUAGUCC
rnacentral:rRNA from 1 species